rnacentral:rRNA from 1 species
UACGUAGGGGGCUAGCGUUGUCCGGAAUCAUUGGGCGUAAAGCGCGUGUAGGCGGUCUGUCGCGUCUGCUGUGAAAAUCCGGGGCUCAACCCCGGACUUGCAGUGGGUACGGGCAGACUAGAGUGUGGUAGGGGAGACUGGAAUUCCUGGUGUAGCGGUGAAAUGCGCAGAUAUCAGGAGGAACACCGAUGGCGAAGGCAGGUCUCUGGGCCACUACUGACGCUGAGAAGCGAAGGCAUGGGGAGCGAACAGG